rnacentral:rRNA from 1 species
UUCCAGACUCCUACGGGAGGCAGCAGUGGGGAAUAUUGCACAAUGGGGGAAACCCUGAUGCAGCGACGCCGCGUGAGCGAUGAAGUAUUUCGGUAUGUAAAGCUCUAUCAGCAGGGAAGAAGAUGACGGUACCUGACUAAGAAGCCCCGGCUAACUACGUGCCAGCAGCCGCGGUAAUACGUAGGGGGCAAGCGUUAUCCGGAUUUACUGGGUGUAAAGGGAGCGUAGACGGCGAUGCAAGCCAGAUGUGAAGGCCCGGGGCUCAACCCCGGGACUGCAUUUGGAACUGUGUGGCUGGAGUGUCGGAGAGGCAGGCGGAAUUCCUAGUGUAGCGGUGAAAUGCGUAGAUAUUAGGAGGAACACCAGUGGCGAAGGCGGCCUGCUGGACGAUGACUGACGUUGAGGCUCGAAAGCGUGGGGAGCAAACAGGAUUAGAUACCCCGGUAAC